rnacentral:rRNA from 1 species
UACGGGGGGGGCAAGCGUUGUUCGGAAUUACUGGGCGUAAAGGGUCUGUAGGUGGCCAACUAAGUCGGACGUGAAAUCCCUCAGCUUAACUGGGGAACUGCGUCUGAUACUGGAUGGCUCGAGUGUGGGAGAGGAAUGCGGAAUUCCAGGUGUAGCGGUGAAAUGCGUAGAUAUCUGGAGGAACACCGGUGGCGAAGGCGGCAUUCUGGACCAUAACUGACACUGAGAGACGAAAGCCAGGGGAGCAAACGGG